GAGAUCUUAGCUCAACUGGUUAGAGCGUUGGUUUGUGGAACCAAAGGUUGGGGGUUCGACUCCCCUAGGUCUCC
rnacentral:tRNA from 1 species